GCAUGAGUCUUCGCCUUUCCCCCACCAUAGGCUUGAUUUUGGCUUUCUAUUAACCCACUGCUUUCCACACUGGUGUCCAGCCCUACAGGGAUGAAGGGGACCCAGCCCUGAGAAUGGAGAGGGGUGGCCAGCGUGCAUUCGUGCUAAUCAGUAGAGAAGGAAAGUUCUGCCUUUUGGGGGGCUUGAAUCUGCACCAUCUGCAUAAGGUUUUGUACUGAGGAAAAUGCCCAAUUACGCUCAUUCACUUGCCCUUGAACCUAGUCCUGCCGACAACUACAAAUAAUGGCAUCAUAUUCUGCUAAAUGCUCUAGGAAUGUAACCCCUGAAAAUUUCUGGGUCCACUGUAUUAAGCUUGGAGUGAGGACUACAUUUCAGCCAGAUCAGAAAUGCAGAGGCUGGAGAGAGAAAUAUACAAAACCUUCUAAGGAAAAAAUGGUUGUCCAAAUAAAAAUAUAUGGGGUAUGUAAAGAUAAGUGACACAAAGCAUCUGAGGAGCGAGCAAGAGUGGAGAAGUGUGGGAGCUGAGGUCACGGAAGGAAAAAAAUCUACUG